rnacentral:tRNA from 1 species
GGAGUUAUGCCUGAAGCAAAGGGUCACUUUGAUAGAGUGAAACAUGAGGGUUAAAGCCCCUCUAACUCCU